GGUGGACUUCUCUGGAGCCCUCCGGUGCUCAGUCAGUCCUGAGCGGCUUGGCAGAGGGGGAAUUCUGGAUGAGUCAGAAUUCCAGCAGGAAUUUGAUCAGGUCACAGUGGAUUAUCCAGUCAGUGAUGCAGGACACCUCCAGAGCAUCUACACCGGGCAUUUUCUAACCCAUGGCCACCAGAUUGGAGACUGCUGGGUUAAAGGUCACUCAGCAGGCGGUUGCCGUAACAACAGCACUUUUAGCAUCAACUCUUAAGUGCUGGUUGAAAGUGUGUGAGUAGGGGGAAGUUUUUAUUUCAUUGCUGCAAGUCACAUUCCUUGGUCACCAGCAGAGGUCAGCGUUCAGCCGCGCUCAAACUUCCAGGCCAUUACACUACAUGUGUGGAAGGUGGAGACGAAACACUUCAACCUGAUGCAGACAUUGAACAAACAACUACUUGUAUCACACACACAUGCAUAUGAGCCUCAAGUGGUUGUAAACACUCAUGUGAGUCCUGGGUUUUACCUGCUUGUGCCCAGUACCUUGUUGCAGGGAGCUGAAUGCUGAUUUCUUUUGAGAGCUGCUGGAUGACAAUCAGUCAGGCUUCAAAAGUGGACACUCCACCAAAACUGCCCUGCUGUCUGUCACUGCGUCGCUGAGACAGGCAAAAGCUGAAUCCAGAUCAUCCGUCCUGAUUCUGCUGGACCUUUCUACAGCCUUUGACACAGUCAGCCAUCAGCCAUCCUGCCCCUGGUGGACAGAACUGCCCGCUGCAUUCUCGGGAUCUCCCCCAGAAGGGGUCUCCCCCCGCCCCUGGCAGUGGCCCUGACUGCUCCAGGUGGUCGGCUAGGACAGCCUUCUCCCCUCACGGUAGUGGCAAGAACUCCACUACGGUGUAUCCUUCCUCCUUCCCGGGUUUCGGAAAGCUAUUAAUGGAAAGGAGGAGGCGAGAACCAGCUUGACAAUAUAAAUAGUUUAAUGAAAAACGAAACAAAAAGACAAAUACACAAAGGUGUCGGACAGCUGCCAGUAAACGCUCUCUCUCUCUCUCUCUGUUGCACAAACGUCUGCAGUCGGCCUUGAUCCCUCUCGGGGGCUUAAUUAGCCUGAUAAGGGACCGGGUGUGUAGAAUCACAAUCCGGCCCCGCCCUCCGACCUGUCACACCCUCCUUAAACUCAAACGAGAAACUCUCUGUUGUUCUUGUAUUAUUGUUGUGCAUCUGGGUUUUCCACUUCUCUCUC